AGCAGUAGCCGCGGGAAUACGUAGGUCCCGAGUGUUGUCCGGAUUUAUUGGGCGUAAAGCGAGCGCAGGCGGUUAGAUAAGUCUGAAGUUAAAGGCUGUGGCUUAACCAUAGUACGCUUUGGAAACUGUUUAACUUGAGUGCAAGAGGGGAGAGUGGAAUUCCAUGUGUAGCGGUGAAAUGCGUAGAUAUAUGGAGGAACACCGGUGGCGAAAGCGGCUCUCUGGCUUGUAACUGACGCUGAGGCUCGAAAGCGUGGGGAGCAAACAGGAUUAGAUACCCCCGUAGUCCCUGUCUCUUAUACA
rnacentral:rRNA from 1 species